rnacentral:rRNA from 1 species
GCCCUCGGUGGUGGGGGAGUAGCCGGGCUAACGCCCGGGUAAUACCGCAUACGUUCCUCUGGGGGAGUCCCCUGGGGGGAGGAAAGCUCCGGCGCACGGGGAGGGGUUCGCGGCCUAUCAGCUAGUUGGCGGGGUAAUGGCCCACCAAGGCGACGACGGGUAGCUGGUCUGAGAGGAUGGCCAGCCACAUUGGGACUGAGAGACGGCCCAG